AAAGGGAGACCUAAUUCAGGUAGGAGACGAAAAAAAAGUAGUCCCUACCAAGAAUCAAUCCCAAAAGGUCGGAGCGAGGCAAAAUUGGCUUUCAAACUAGGUUCUGGGUUCACACAAGACCUGAAUCAGGAACAAGGGCUAUUAGCUCAGGUGGUUAGAGCGCACCCCUGAUAAGGGUGAGGUCCCUGGUUCGAGUCCAGGAUGGCCCACCUGCACAGGUGGCAAAAACAAAGAAAAGAAGCGAGGAAUCAGCACCUUAUCUUACUUAUAUAGUAAGAGAGAAUGCUGGCUCUGAGUUCAGAGUCCAGAGGAACCUUGAAAACUGCAUAGAGCUAGGUGAAAAAGCCAAAAAAGAAGACCACAAG
rnacentral:tRNA from 1 species